GAUGAACGCUAGCGGGAGGCCUAACACAUGCAAGCCGAGCGGUAGAGUCUCUUCGGAGACUUGAGAGCGGCGCACGGGUGCGGAACACGUGUGCAACCUGCCUUUAUCUGGGGGAUAGCCUUUCGAAAGGAAGAUUAAUACCCCAUAAUAUACUGGAUGGCAUCAUCUGGUAUUGAAAACUCCGGUGGAUAGAGAUGGGCACGCGCAAGAUUAGAUAGUUGGUGAGGUAACGGCUCACCAAGUCAGCGAUCUUUAGGGGGCCUGAGAGGGUGAUCCCCCACACUGGUACUGAGACACGGACCAGACUCCUACGGGAGGCAGCAGUGAGGAAGAUUGGACAAUGGGUGAGAGCCUGAUCCAGCCAUCCCGCGUGAAGGACGACGGCCCUAUGGGUUGUAAACUUCUUUUGUAUAGGGAUAAACCUAGAUACGUGUAUCUAGCUGAAGGUACUAUACGAAUAAGCACCGGCUAACUCCGUG
rnacentral:rRNA from 1 species